rnacentral:rRNA from 1 species
ACAGAGGGGGCAAGCGUUAUUCGGAAUUAUUGGGCGUAAAGGGCGCGUAGGCGGUCUGACAAGUGGAAGGUGAAAUCCCCGGGCUCAACCUGGGAACUGCCUUCCAAACUGUUUGACUUGAGUCCGGGAGAGGUGAGUGGAAUUCCCAGUGUAGCGGUGAAAUGCGUAGAUAUUGGGAGGAACACCAGUGGCGAAGGCGGCUCACUGGACCGGAACUGACGCUGAGGCGGGAAAGCGUGGGGAGCAAACAGGA